AUUUUCCGCAAUGGGCGAAAGCCUGACGGAGCAAUACCGCGUGAGGGACGAAGGCUUUUGGGUCGUAAACCUCUUUUCUCAAGGAAGAAUAGGACGGUACUUGAGGAAUAAGCAUCGGCUAACUCCGUGCCAGCAGCCNGCGGUNAAUACGGAGGAUGCAAGCGUUAUCCGGAAUGAUUGGGCGUAAAGCGUCCNGCAGGUGGUUUUGUAAGUCUGCUGUUAAAGCGUCAUGCUUAACAUGAUAAGGGCAGUGGAAACUAUGAGACUAGAGUAUGUUAGGGGUAGAGGGAAUUCCCAGUGUAGCGGUGAAAUGCGUAGAGAUUGGGAAGAACACCGGUGGCGAAAGCGCUCUGCUUAGACAAUACUGACACUGAG
rnacentral:rRNA from 1 species